CGAACAAUUGGAGCCGAAAAUCGCGUCAAAACGCAUAAACGCAUAAAUUCUAGAUUUGGAUUUCGCGCAAAAGAGAGAUUCGCCAAGAUGAACCCUUUUUGUUGAAACACCCUCUGAAAAGUCACGUGCCGCGAAGGGAAAAGAAAGGCGUCGAAAAGGCAGGGGUUGAAGCGUGAACUAUCCCAUGACAUUAGCCGCGAGCAAAAAGAAAUAUUAAUCGAGAGUGCGGUUCACCUCGUCUCGAUUUUCGCCGCAACUAUACAAUCAACGACACGUGUUGCGAUAACGUGUACAUUAUGCCGCCCUGCGAAUACGAUGAUUACUCGCACCCUUUAACGCCCAUCCCAUAACGAAUUUUUUUACGCACAAUUGUCGCACUGUAAUUGCACUGUUUGGAUCCUCGAAGAAACCAUCCCUUUAAAUAUCUCUUCGUUAACGUAACCCACGAUUCAGAUGAAUUUUUAUAAUAUCGUCAAAUUAAAAAUAUAAAUUACACGACGAGAAAAAAAAUAAAAAUAACCAACUAUCAAAUACUUCCAAAUGCUUAUCUAACAACCAGUUUUAUCCGAAUAUCUCUCUCCAAAUAUAUGUACAUAAAUACACCCUUCACGGAAUCGGAAUAUAAUCGCACCGUAUAUAAUAGUUUUUGAGAGAAAGUCGCAUGAUCGAUAAAAUGGUCCACCCAUUCGCUUGCCUCGCGUCCACCAGGUGCGGAAAUGUUCCAUGGUCUGGAACAUUGAUGGCAAUGGCGGCCACUUGGGGCGGUCUCGAUCCCGGUUUCCCGCUUUUCCAUUGGAGGAUCGAGGGGAUGCUGAGGGAGAGGGUGAGAGAGAGAGAGAGAGUGAGAGAUCUGGAGGGAGGGGAAGGAUGAAACGACGAGGGGCUUGUUUCGUGGAAGGGCGUGGUUUCGUGGACAACGAGAUGAUCCUUGAAAUCGGCCCUCGGGGCGCAUCCUGUCCACGCGACAGGGCAUCUUAUCAGAGACGUCGUCGAUCUCGUGGUGUAAUCGUAGCCUCGCUUGCUUCGGUUCGCACACGGUGGAAAUUAUUUUUUUCGUUGAAUAUUUUUUUUUUUUUUGAAGAAGAAGAAGAGGAGGAGGAGGAGGAAGAAAAUAGUUAUUUUUGGUUAACUUGAGACGGUUGAGAAGAGGAAGUUGAUCGAAUUAUCGGCGAUGGUACUUGGUUAGGAUACGAUAUUAAGUAAAAAAACGAAAAUAUUAAAAUAUCGAGGGGAGGGGAAAAAUGAGUCGCAUCUCAAAAGAGUGGACGACUGAUCGAAGAUGGGGGAUGGAAGUCACGCGUUGAUUUUAUCGCGAUUAAGGGGAUAAAAAUGGACGGUUUCAUCCUCCCUUCAUCCUUCUACAUUUCCUGAAACGAUUGGCCUCGGCUGAGAGCGGCGAAGAUCGAGUGCGAAAUUUGGCG